rnacentral:rRNA from 1 species
AGUGAACGCUGGCGGUAGGCCUAACACAUGCAAGUCGAACGGCAGCACAGGGGAUCUUGCUCUCUGGGUGGCGAGUGGCGGACGGGUGAGGAAUACAUCGGAAUCUGCCCAGUCGUGGGGGAUAACGUAGGGAAACUUACGCUAAUACCGCAUACGACCUUCGGGUGAAAGAGGGGGAUCGCAAGACCUCUCGCGAUUGGAUGAGCCGAUGUCGGAUUAGCUAGUUGGCGGGGUAAUGGCCCACCAAGGCGACGAUCCGUAGCUGGUCUGAGAGGAUGAUCAGCCACACUGGAACUGAGACACGGUCCAGACUCCUACGGGAGGCAGCAGUGGGGAAUAUUGGACAAUGGGCGCAAGCCUGAUCCAGCCAUACCGCGUGGGUGAAGAAGGCCUUCGGGUUGUAAAGCCCUUUUGUUGGGAAAGAAAUCUUUCAGGCUAAUACCCUGGGAGGAUGACGGUACCCAAAGAAUAAGCACCGGCUAACUUCGUG